CAUCGCUCACCUUGCCAGCAGUGAACUGAGGCUCAGAGAGGCUGAAGGGAGUUUGUUGGUAAGCACAGGCCCAGGAAACGAUAAAGCCAGCGCCCAGGCUCUGCUGUGAAACAGUGAGUAGAAUCAGCACGGUCUGUAGGUAACUUCUUGGCCAGAAAUGCAGGAGCUAGAAGCUGAACUAAGCGCUGAGCUGAAGAAGCCAACCAGGAACUGAAUUGUGUGUUCAUCUUCAAGCCAUCGUGAGCUCUGAGCAGCCCAUCACAGAAGGACUCAGUUGGAAAGAGUAAGCGCUAUACUGACAGUAUGUUUCUAAGUUGCGUGUGGAUGUGAGAGUUCGACCGUAAAGAAGGCUGAGUGCCAGAGAAUUGGUGUUUCUGAACCACGGUGUUGGAGAAGAUUCUUGAGAGUGCCUUGGUCUGCAAGGAGAUCAACCAGUCGUUCCGAAAGGAGAUCAGCCCUGAACGUCCGCGGGAGGGACUGACGCUGAAGCGCCAGUGCUUUGGCCCCCGCCAGCUCCCCCCGCCGCCCCGAACGUCCCUGGGCAGCUUUCAUUGCGCCCCUGGUUUGCACUGUGAUUCUGUAGGAGGAAAGACACCUAAUCCGCUCGGUGGG
ensembl:lncRNA